CUUUUUUUUUUCUUUUUUUUCCCCUGGAGCCCAUCCAUUCUAUUGCUAAUUCCGAGCUCUACCACUCUCUUCACACACUGUCCUUCCAGGCUCCAGGCACCAGGUCCAACUAGAAUCCUGUGGUCAGCAAGGGACUCUGAGGUAGUGUCAUCUCUGACCCCCACCUCACUUCCAGUUUUCCGAGUCCCAGAAUCCACUUCCUUGAUGGGUCGCGGGCACCACGUUCCACUAAAAGCCUCUGGUCAGCAAGGGACUCUGAGGGAGAGUCAUCUCUGACACCCACGCCACUUCCAGACUUCCCAGUCACAGACUCCACCUCCUUGGUAGGUAGAUAGAAAUUUU